rnacentral:rRNA from 1 species
AUUCUUCUAGCAUAGAAGAGAUGGCGACCGGCGCACGGGUGAGUAACACGUAUCCAACCCGUUAAUGACUCCGGAAUAGCCUUUCGAAAGAAAGAUUAAUACUGGAUGGCAUACGAAUAUCGCAUGAUAUUUUUAUUAAAGAAUUUCGGUUAUCGAUGGGGAUGCGUUCCAUUAGUUUGUUGGCGGGGUAACGGCCCACCAAGACUACGAUGGAUAGGGGUUCUGAGAGGAAGGUCCCCCACAUUGGAACUGAGACACGGUCCAAACUCCUACGGGAGGCAGCAGUGAGGAAUAUUGGUCAAUGGGCGCGGGCCUGAACCAGCCAAGUAGCGUGAAGGAUGAAGGCUCUAUGGGUCGUAAACUUCUUUUAUAUGGGAAUAAAGUUUUCCACGUGUGGAAUUUUGUAUGUACCAUAUGAAUAAGGAUCGGCUAACUCCGUGCCAGCAGCCGCGGUAAUACGGAAGAUCCGAGCGUUAUCCGGAUUUAUUGGGUUUAAAGGGAGCGUAGGUGGAUUGUUAAGUCAGUUGUGAAAGUUUGCGGCUCAACCGUAAAAUUGCAGUUGAAACUGGGAGUCUUGAGUACAGUAGAGGUGGGCGGAAUUCGUGGUGUAGCGGUGAAAUGCUUAGAUAUCACGAAGAACUCCGAUUG